rnacentral:rRNA from 1 species
ACUCUGUUUUAAGAAGAAGUGGUGAGAGUAAUGUUCACCCGUGACGUAUUUACCAGAAAGCACGGCUAAUACGUCCAGCAGCGCGGUAAACGUAGUUGCAGCGUUUCCGGAUUAUUGGGGUAAACGAGCGCAGGCGUCUUUAAGUUUAAGUAAAGCCUUGGCUCAACGAAGAAUGCAUUGAAACUGGAGACUGAGUGCGAAGAGGACAGGGAACUCCAUGGUAGCGGGGAAUGCGUAGAUUUUGGAAGAACACCAGGGGGAAGGCGGCUGUUUGGUCUGUAACUGACGGUGAGGCUCGAAAGCAUGGUAGCGAACAGGAUUAGAUACCCUGGUAGUCCAUGCCGUAAACGAUGAUUACUAAGUGUUGGAGGGUUUCCGCCCUUCAGUGCUGCAGCUAACGCAUUAAGUAAUCCGCCUGGGGAGUACGACCGCAAGGUUGAAACUCAAAAGAAUUGACGGGGGCCCGCACAAGCGGUGGAGCAUGUGGUUUAAUUCGAAGCUACGCGAAGAACCUUACCAGGUCUUGACAUCUUCUGCCAACCUAAGAGAUUAGGCGUUCCCUUCGGGGACAGAAUGACAGGUGGUGCAUGGUUGUCGUCAGCUCGUGUCGUGAGAUGUUGGGUUAAGUCCCGCAACGAGCGCAACCCUUAUUACUAGUUGCCAGCAUUCAGUUGGGCACUCUAGUGAGACUGCCGGUGACAAACCGGAGGAAGGUGGGGACGACGUCAAAUCAUCAUGCCCCUUAUGACCUGGGCUACACACGUGCUACAAUGGAUGGUACAACGAGUUGCGAAACCGCGAGGUUUAGCUAAUCUCUUAAAACCAUUCUCAGUUCGGACUGUAGGCUGCAACUCGCCUACACGAAGUCGGAAUCGCUAGUAAUCGCGGAUCAGCAUGCCGCGGUGAAUACGUUCCCGGGCCUUGUACACACCGCCCGUCACACCAUGAGAGUUUGUAACACCC